GUACUACUCUCAGAGUUUGAUCCUGGCUCAGGACGAACGCUGGCGGCGUGCCUAACACAUGCAAGUCGAGCGGGGACUUGGGAGCUUGCUCCCGGGUUCUAGCGGCGGACGGGUGAGUAACGCGUGAGCAACCUGCCUCUUACUGGGGGACAACGCAUCGAAAGAUGUGCUAAUACCGCGUAAGACCACAGUGCCGCAUGGUACAGGGGUCAAAGGAGCAAUCCGGUAAGAGAUGGGCUCGCGUCCGAUUAGCUAGUUGGUGAGAUAAAAGCCCACCAAGGCGACGAUCGGUAGCCGACCUGAGAGGGUGAUCGGCCACAUUGGAACUGAGAUACGGUCCAG
rnacentral:rRNA from 1 species